AAGAAUAUUCCGCAAUGGAACGAAAGUCUGACGGAGCGACGCCGCGUGGAUGAUGAAGGCCGAAAGGUUGUAAAGUCCUUUUGCUGGGGAAGAAUAACCAUGGGAGGGAAUGCCCGUGGGAUGACAUGAACCGGCGAAUAAGCCCCGGCCAACUACGUGCC
rnacentral:rRNA from 1 species